CCUGACCGGCAAGCUUCCAUUAUAAGCAACGGUCAGCCAUGAUCCAUAAUUUCAGUUGCCAACUCAUCGAGUAUAGCUCCCGUUUUGGGAUUUGUUUGUACGACCCAGAACCCCAUAAAAGGCACGCGAGGCUGAGCUACAAUUACAAUAGUAUUACAAUACAUGAAGCGACUAAUUUUUUAAAUUAUUUAUUUCACGUCGACCAAGACCAGUCGACACAAAGCAAUUAUUUGGAAUUGAAAAUAUUAUAAUAAAAUGUAUAAAAAUAAAAUGAUAAAAACAAGCAA